rnacentral:rRNA from 1 species
AUACGGAGGGUGCAAGCGUUGUUCGGAAUCACUGGGCGUAAAGGGCGCGCAGGCGGUCCUGCAAGUCAGAUGUGAAAGCCCACGGCUCAACCGUGGAAGUGCAUUUGAAACUGCAGGACUUGAGUAUCAGAGGGGAAAGUGGAAUUCCCGGUGUAGAGGUGAAAUUCGUAGAUAUCGGGAGGAAUACCGGUGGCGAAGGCGACUUUCUGGCUGGAUACUGACGCUGAGGCGCGAAAGCGUGGGGAGCAAACAGGAUUAGAAACCCCAGUAGUCC